rnacentral:rRNA from 1 species
UUUUGGACAAUGGGCGAAAGCCUGAUCCAGCAAUGCCGCGUGUGGGAAGAAGGCCUUCGGGUUGUAAACCACUUUUGUACGGAACGAAAAGGUCUGCCCUAAUACGGUGGGCCCAUGACGGUACCGUAAGAAUAAGCACCGGCUAACUACGUGCCAGCAGCCGCGGUAAUACGUAGGGUGCAAGCGUUAAUCGGAAUUACUGGGCGUAAAGCGCACGUAGGUGGUUUGGUAAGUUGGAUGUGAAAUCCCCGGGCUCAACCUGGAACUGCAUUCAAUACUGCCUACUAGAGAUGGAGGGGAAGCGAAUUCCACAUGAGCGGUAAAUGCGAAAUGUGGGGAACAUCAAUGGCGAGGAGUUCCUGGCAAUCUGACUGAGUGAGAUCGAACGU